GCAUCAGGGAGCUCCAGACAGCAAUGGUGGAGUGUCUCCAAAGUCCUCAGGGAAACUAUUUUGAACCUAGCUUUCUACACUCAGCCAAAUUUCAAGUGUGAGGGCUAGAGAACGGCGCUUGCUACUAUGUAAGAAUUCAGUAUGUUUAGUAAUCACACAGCCAGGAAGAAAAAAUUACUUCUGAGGUAACCCAGCAAAAUCUAAAAAUAAGCCAAGAAAGAAGAAAACAUGAGAUAUAAGAAGCUGCAGCUACCCGAUAUGACCCAAGAAGGUUUACAGACAUGAAAAAGAAAAUUAAAGCCCCAUGGACUGUAGCUUACACCACCAGGCUCCUUCUGUCCAUGGAAUUUUUCAGGCGUUUCUGGAGGCAUUUCGGCGCGUUAUUAGGGGAAAUCGCGCUGACUGGGAGGCGGAGGACCCUCGCUCUCCAUCCAGGAACCGCACUUCCUGGGAGGUUUCCUCGGGAGGUGGCGCCACAGCCCGCCGCUGCGCCGCAGCUGUCCGCCUUUCCCCAGCGGAACCCUGGCAGCGCAAACACCAGGUG
ensembl:lncRNA